rnacentral:rRNA from 1 species
GGGCCCGCACAAGCGGUGGAGCAUGUGGUUUAAUUCGAUGAUACGCGAGGAACCUUACCAGGGCUUAAAUGUAGUGGGACAGGUCUAGAGAUAGACCCUUCUUCGGACUCAUUACAAGGUGCUGCAUGGUUGUCGUCAGCUCGUGCCGUGAGGUGUCAGGUUAAGUCCUAUAACGAGCGCAACCCCUAUCGUUAGUUGCCAGCGAGUAAUGUCGGGAACUCUAACGAAACUGCCAGUGCAAACUGUGAGGAAGGUGGGGAUGACGUCAAAUCAUCACGGCCCUUACGUCCUGGCUACACACGUGCUACAAUGGCCGGUACAGAGAGCAGCCACUGGGUGACCAGGAGCGAA